UACGUAGGGACCAAGCGUUGUUCGGAUUUACUGGGCGUAAAGGGCGCGUAGGCGGUGUGGUAAGUCAGCUGUGAAAUCUCCGAGCUUAACUCGGAACGGUCAGCUGAUACUGCUGUGCUAGAGUACAGAAAGGGCAAUCGGAAUUCUUGGUGUAGCGGUGAAAUGCGUAGAUAUCAGGAAGAACACCAAUGGCGAAAGCAGCUCUCUGGGACGGUACUGACGCUGAGACGCGAAAGCGUGGGGAGCGAACAGG
rnacentral:rRNA from 1 species